AACGCUGGCGGCGUGCCUAACACAUGCAAGUCGAACGAGAAAGUGGAGCUAUCCAUGAGUAAAGUGGCGACCGGGUGAGUAACACGUGACUAACCUACCUUCAAGUGGGGGAUAACCUCGGGAAACCGGGGCUAAUACCGCAUAACAUCUUUAGAGUGGAAAUUCCGGGGAUCAAAGGAGCAAUUCGCUGGAAGAGGGGUUCGCGGCUGAUUAGUUAGUUGGCGGGGUAAUGGCCCACCAAGACAGAGAUCGGUAGCCGGCCUGAGAGGGCGCACGGCCACACUGGAACUGAAACACGGUCCAGACUCCUACGGGAGGCAGCAGUGGGGAGUUUUGCGCAAUGGGGGAAUCCCUGACGCAGCAACGCCGCGUGGAGGAUGAAGUCCCUUGGGACGUAAAUUCCUUUCGACCGGGACGAUAAUGACGGUACCGGUGGAAGAAGCCCCGGCUAACUUCGUGCCAGCAGCCGCGGUAAUAAGGU
rnacentral:rRNA from 1 species